rnacentral:rRNA from 1 species
GGGUACACGAGCGGCGAACGGGUGAGUAACACGUGGGUGAUCUGCCCUGCACUUCGGGAUAAGCCUGGGAAACUGGGUCUAAUACCGGAUAUGACCUCCUAUCGCAUGGUGGGUGGUGGAAAGAUUUAUCGGUGCAGGAUGGGCCCGCGGCCUAUCAGCUUGUUGGUGGGGUAAUGGCCUACCAAGGCGACGACGGGUAGCCGACCUGAGAGGGUGACCGGCCACACUGGGACUGAGACACGGCCCAGACUCCUACGGGAGGCAGCAGUGGGGAAUAUUGCACAAUGGGCGAAAGCCUGAUGCAGCGACGCCGCGUGAGGGAUGACGGCCUUCGGGUUGUAAACCUCUUUCAGCAGGGACGAAGCGCAAGUGACGGUACCUGCAGAAGAAGCCCCGGCUAACUUCGUGCCAGCAGCCGCGGUAAUACGAAGGGGGCUAGCGUUGCUCGGAAUUACUGGGCGUAAAGGGAGCGUAGGCGG